GGAUGAAGAUCAGUUGUUGUGGAAGCUCGGAGUAGUGUCCUAGCUGGUGGAGCCUGUCCCGUUGUAGAAGCUCAUCCGGAACCCAUCCGCUAUGGAGAAGCUUGGUUGAAGUCUACCUGUAAUAGAAGUUCGGAAGAAAUUUGUUUACAGUAGAGGCUCGAAUGGAGUUCGCUUACAGUAGAUAUCCAGUGUAGACCGCC
rnacentral:lncRNA from 1 species